rnacentral:rRNA from 1 species
AAGAAUAUUUCAUUGAUGUACCAAAUUAACUCCACUAAUUAAACUACAUAUGGUAGCCCACACACAUUGUGCCUUACAAUUAGUUUACUUAAAGGCCUUUAACAGGCCCUAAACAACCUAAUUUCGGACUCCAAAGAUUGAAUCCAAGGUCAUUAUCCCACAACACCAAUGUCCUAUAUUAGCUUAGCUAGGAGACUAGGCACUAGAAAACAAGUAAUAGAGGUGGCAAAAAUGGUGCCAGCAGUCGCGGUUAUACCAUUACCUCAAGUUAAUUAACACAACUAGGGACCAAUCACAAGACUAAAUAAUCAACUUUCUACGUAAAAAAUAAAUUAUAACUAAACCCAAUUGAGUCAUCCGUCAAAAGUCCCAACAAACCACACCCUCAAAACCCGGAUUAGAUACCCGACUAUUGUGUGGCCCAACAAAAAAAGAAUACUACAAGCGAAAGCUCAAACCUCAAACAAUGUGGCGGUGCUUAACUCCUCAUCAGGGGAUCCUGUGUCUUAAAUCGAUAAUCCACGAAAACCUUAGCUUUUCUAGUCCUCAGCUUAUGUAUGGCCGUUUAUGCUUGCUCAAAAAAGAUCACAAAAGGAAGCAAUAGAGCUAUCACCCGCUAAUUCAGGUGACAUAUAGCCGAUGGAAAGCUGACUCAUGGGAUACAAAUAAACCCACUAUCGAACCUAAAACUUAAACCUUUAACGAAGGAGGACUUGAAAGUAAGACCGCACCUAAUAAAGCCGAUCUGAACAAGAACUUAAGCGCGCACAAAUCGCCCGUCACUCCGGCAGUAAAGUCGGAUAAGUCGUAACACAGUAGGGGUAAUGGAAAUUGCCCCUAUCAC